rnacentral:lncRNA from 1 species
UGUCCUCUGAUCUUAAAACAUGAAAUCGAACCGUACUUGUUAUUUAAAAACAAUGAAAUAUCGUUCAUAUAUCAUAUGAUAAUACGAACUGCUUUCAAUUUCGAUGGCCAAGGAGGGUGAUUGGCCUAAUGAGUUCAUAUAAAGUGAUAAAAAGCCUGCGGCGAUUUUAAGAUACGCUCGUGGCGAGAUUUGUUCGACUCCGAUCCUAAUCGACAGUUAUUGCAAAUAUUUAAACUUAAGGUUCGCCUUGAUGUCCGGCUUCUCCUACCUAUGAUGACAGGUCAAUAAAAUACAACAAAUGUCGCUUAUACAUGUAGUGGUGUUUAACACCAAAACAAAGAACAAACUUUUAGAAAUAAUUUGAAAACACAUAUAUGUAUAGCGUCCCGAAUCGAAAACGUUCAAAACGUAAGAAAAUUGUUCAGUGGACAAACUUGCAAGACAUUUGAUUUGUUAAAAAACGAAGUCAUUUCGACUUCACAGCUUAUCAAAAAGUAUGUUAUCGUAUUGUGGGGUGAAAGCACAAUUACGCAAAAGCACUAUUUUGUAUGCUACAAAUUUAAUAUUUAAUAUAAUGACGUUGAAACUGACAGUGUUUUGGUAAAAAGCGGCGAAAUUCGACAUUGGACAAUCUUGCAAGACAUUUUCCCGAAGCCAAUGCGUUUUUAUUUGUGGUGCGAGUGCUGUAAAAUUCCGGAUUUGAAAUGGUCUAUCUAAGCACUUUUGUAGGAAUAAUUUAUGAAAACAAAAUUUUAUAUCUUCUGAUAUUUUUAAAAGCGGUAACUUUUGGAUAUAACUUACCAUUUUCCGAAACCUGACCAUGGCGAGGAUUAUUCAUUUUUGAAAAAAUCAGCUUUGACCGUUCCAUCAACACAAAAAACAGCAAUGAUGUCAUAAAUUAUAUAUGACGUUUAUCAUUCAUGCGAAUUUUCGCGGAUUUUAAACUCUUUUUUAGACCACAAAAAUUCCCGCAAAAGUUAUUUUGCGAAUAAUUUGUUACGUCUGACCCGCAUAUUUUUGACGUUUU